GUCUUAUUGUAUAUAAUAAUAAGUUUAACCUGCCCACUGAAAAUAUAAUUUUAAAUGGCCGCAGUAUAUUAACUGUGCAAAGGUAGCAUAAUAAUUUGUCUUUUAAUUGGAGACUGGAAUGAAUGGUUGGACGUGAAAAUUACUGUCUCUACUUUUAAUGUUGAAUUUUACUUUUAAGUGAAAAGGCUUAAAUUUUAUUAAGGGACGAGAAGACCCCAUCAAGUUUUAUAAAUUUAAAUAUUUAUAUUUUCAUAUGUAAUUAUUUAGUUUAUUUUUCUGGGGCGGAAGGAAUAGUAUAUCUUUUUUUAAAGUUUGAAUAACUAUUAAGUUUAUUAUUGAAUUUUUAUUAUAAAUUAUAUGAAUAAAUUACUGUGGGGGUAACAGCGUUAUUUCUUUUUAGAGUUCAUAUUAAUAAAGAAGAUUGCGACCUCGAUGUUGGAUUAAUUUUUCCUAAUGGUGAAGAAGCUAUAAUAGGUAAGUCUGUUCGACUUUUAAAAAAUUACA
rnacentral:rRNA from 1 species